UGAGGUCAGCUCUAGCAGCCGCCACGUCCGCCUCGGCCUGCCUGGUCCUUGCUUCGGCUGCGCUGAUGCGCUCGGCCGCCUGCCGCUCUGCUUCCUUGGUGCUGCCAUUUGACACCGCGCCGUUGCUCUGGCUCAAGCGAUGCUGCAAGUCCUCCAACGCCCUGUGACAGUAGUUGCUGCUCACUCAAGAAAUCGCAAGGCAUAAUUUACAGGGCUUGACAACAAUAUGUGUACUAUAUAUAACUAUAAUACUGUAUAAUAUGUCAGAGCGAGCAGCGUCUGCAAAGACCAUUCAAGGCACUUCCAGGAAGGUUGCAGGUAGGAGGUUCACCUCUGCUGCUCUGCAAUCCGGGCCUUGGCGCUCUGUAGCUCAUCUGAGUCCACUGCACCUUGGGGGUCCGGUGACUCGCCGGACGGCCGCCUGAGGCCAUCCAUGGACACCUUGUGCACCUCCUCAAUGCAGCCCGGCAGCCACUGCGCAAACUCCUGAUCAA
rnacentral:lncRNA from 1 species